rnacentral:rRNA from 1 species
AUUGAACGCUGGCGGCAGGCCUAACACAUGCAAGUCGAACGAGUGGCGGACGGGUGAGUAAUGUCUGGGAAACUGCCUGGUGGAGGGGGAUAACUACUGGAAACGAUAGCUACUACCGAAUACCAUCAGAUGUGCCCAGAUGGGAUUAGAUUGUUGGUGGGGUAACGGCGCACCAAGGCGACGAGCCCUGGCUGGUCUGAGAGGAUGACCAGCGUCACGGGAACUGAGACACGGUCCAGACUCCUGCGGGAGGCAUAAGUGGGGAAUAUUGCACAAUGGGCGCAAUCCUGAUACAGCCAUGCCGCGUGUAUGAAGAAGGCCUUCGGGUUGUAAAGUACUUUCAGCGGGGAGGCGUUACCCGCAGAAGAAGCACCGGCUAACUCCGUGCCAGCAGCCGCGGUAAUAC